UCCACCGUCCCGUAAGCCUUCCCUCGAACUACCCAGUCCCAUGUCCCUGCACCCGCAUUUGCAACCCAUCCUCCAAUCACGCAAGACACGCAGAAAAAAAAGGAAAGGGAUCCCCUCCGCACAGACUGCUCCAUCUCCGGCGCCCUUGACGGGUGUCUCUUCCGGCCUACCCCUGCUCCACUCUCAACGGGCUAGCGCCGGCCAAAGGUUGUGUUUCGGCUAGAGCGGUUGCCCAGGCGCAGGCGAGCGAUGCGGUCAACGGGGGUGGCGGCGGCAGCUCGAUGUAGGGAACAGUGAUGGCCAAGGCAUGCACUCCGGUGGGGCUGGCGUGGAUCUGGAGGAAGGCAGCCGGAUCGGGUCGACGAUGGGCGGCGCCGGCGAGUCGGAGGGAUGACGGUGGCGGCUGAGCUCCUCCAUGGCCUGCUGCGUUUCCAGGAGAUAGAGAAGGACCGAAGGAAGGGAGAGGAGGAAGGGCAGGGGUGCGGCGGCCUCGACGGUGAACAUCCGGUGGCGACGGUCUCCGGCGAGAGGCAGUGCACGAUGCCGGCGCGAGUCUAUGGGGCGGAUGCGGCGGCUGCUCGGAGCUGCGGGACAUUGGGCAUUUUGGAUACUUUGGAUGGCAAGCCAAAGAUUGUGCAUAUUCGGCCACAUGCAUGAUGAUUCGGUCAACACACUGGGAUCCUGGAGGUAGAACCAUAAGAAGAAGACUGAUCACGCUCCUCGACGCCGGCGUCCACUUCUUGCAAGAUUCAUAUUGGUUCGUCUUGGUUCGAGCCAUAUAAUCCCGUGGAUCGACCCAGCGGUGCUGAAUCUGAAGCACUGGAUAGGGAGACACCCCUUCGUGUAUGCCUGGAUAGCGACGCACCACCAGAGAUAGAGUAUUAUGACCUGUCCCACGAGUUCGACGUGAAGAUGCUGCAUCCGGUCAGGGACGACGAGCUGCAGGUGUUCUCGGCGAGAUUCAACAAGGUCUUCGGCAAAUGCCAGGGCCUGGGCAAUGUCUGCUUCCUACAUGGCAUCUUGACGCGGAAUGGGAGGCUUUGUGUAGCGAUGAGGUUUUCCGAAGGAUCCAUCAGGGAUAGGAUGGUUCAACUUAAAGGUGGAAGGCUCCCUUUGUCAAAUGUUUUAAGUUGAAAAUAUAUCCAUUUUUAGAUAAGAGUCACCUAAGCAUGCAGUUUGCAACUUUCUACCGCCCGCCACUCCUCUGCUCGACCACCGCUGCCGGCACGUUGAGGCCCUCGCCACCAAGCGGCAUGCUUUCCUGAGAUCAGCAAAAUGGCAAACAUGCCAGCGAGCCCCGAGCGCGGUGGCUCGUGCAAUAUGAAGAAGACCAUCCGGACAAAGGGCGGGUACACAAAUAGCCAAGGACGCAAGGAGAUGUGCAGUGACGGAGAGUUGCCUGAAUGUUGUUUUCCUCCGCGUGAAGUGCUUAGAAAUCUCAAAGGCGUCAACAAGUCCCGAAGGAAAUUGACAAGGUGCAUUCAGAGUUUAGAGCUUGACGAGCCAUGUUGUGUGAGCUUGUUGAUGGUCUGCUAUUUUUCACAAAAUUGGGACAUGUUGGAUGGUCAAUGAAGGAAGAGCGAAGGGAUGGUUUGCAUGACAAUAUCCUCAAUGGGCUGGAGUUAGCGGGGAUCAUUGAUCGGAGAUAUGUAAAUGUUGAUACUUGAUUUUCUCGCCUGGCAGCUUCUCACUUCUGUGGAAGACACUUAAUUUUGUCAUAGUAAUAGUUAUUUAUUAUUGUUGAUACAUAAAUGGUUAUUUACUGAAUGGUCCUUGUAUGUGUAUAUGGAGAAUGGUGAUUAACCUUUUAAAUAAUAAAUUGUCCAACAAGGUGAUUCUAAUUUCUGGUUAGAUUAUACUAUAACAAUAUGAUUAGCAAAA